GACGGACAUCCAUCCUUAAAUUCGGUCUGGAGCCCCGCCUGCCCCUGAUCCCUUCCAGAACUCUCAGCCUCACUCUAGAUUCCUGGUCUCUUGGUCGGGUUAGUCCUCCCUGAUGGGGAGACCUCUGGAGUCCAGAAACUGAUUCGAAUGUAAAACAACCCGGCAUGUAGGCAAAUCCCUACACGGAUGCUUAGCGCAGCUCUUUUUAAUAUUGAGAAAUUAGAAGCUACUUAAACGAUCAACACUGAUUCUAAAUCAGGGCUCAUUCUUUCAGUGGGAUUUAACGUGCCCGUUUAAAGUCACUUUUACGGACGAAUACUUUUGGCCACUCAUAUUUUGUGAGAUGUUAGUUCCCCAGCCAGGGAUGGAAACUGUGCCCUCUGCAGUGGAAUUGCAAAGUUCUAACCAGCGGAAUUGCAAAGUUCUAACCGCUGGAUUGCCAGACAGAUCCUUCACCAGUAAGCCACCCGGGCUCCCCCAGUGGAAGAGAAUUUUUAAUGGAAGGAGUUUCCAAAUCAAAUGGAAGAGAAUUUGGCUCCGGCAUCUUUAAGUCAGAUAACCAGGGAGAGGGGAAUUCACCAGCAUGGCUCGUUCAGGCCUUCACAGUCCUGUGGCCAUUGGAGGUUGAGAAAAUCUUUCCAAAAGAAAAGAGAAGAAAAAUCCUUCUGUCGUGAAAAACAAGCUGUCUUCUGCCUCAGUCACCUUGCCAUGUCAAAU